AUACGGAGGGGGCUAGCGUUGUUCGGAAUUACUGGGCGUAAAGCGCGCGUAGGCGGUAUAUCAAGUUAGGCGUGAAAGCCCCGGGCUCAACCCGGGAACUGCGCUUAUUACUGAUAAACUAGAGUCCGGGAGAGGGUGGCGGAAUUCCCAGUGUAGAGGUGAAAUUCGUAGAUAUUGGGAAGAACACCAGUUGCGAAGGCGGCCACCUGGACCGGUACUGACGCUGAGGUGCGAAAGCGUGGGGAGCAAACAGGAUUAGAAACCCCAGUAGUCC
rnacentral:rRNA from 1 species